GGGGCUCCGCGUACUGCGGGCUUUUCUUCGUGCGUCUCGGACGAGAGAGUGGACGUGCUGAAGUGAUAAUGCAUGGCACGCAGCGCAAUCGAGAGGUCCAGUAAAUUGCGGGCCCAGUUGUGAGUGCCGGUUUCAAAUGCUCGUCGUUGCGGUGUCGUCCAAGCGUUUUCAGUACAAGUGCACAGUACAUAAACCACAGCGUGAAAUAAACGGUUGAAACGGUCGCCACAUAAAAAUAAUUCCGUUCGAAGGCGAAAGUAGUGAUGAAGAAGUUGCACCGAAGGUGAUGGUGAGCAAGUGUGACUAAAGUGAACCGCGCGCUGUGGAAGUGUUGUAAGCCGGAAACGACACCAAAACGUAAGCUUCCGCGGUGCGCGCGUUACGGCCAUUCAUCGACCAAAUUAUCCUGGUCCUGGCGCGGCCUGGCUCGGAACACCCUCAAUCACCAUCGUCCUCAAUUACUGCAGCAUUACUCCAGCUCCAGCGGGUCCAGCUGGGUCGCCACCCCGCAACUGCAGAGCACACGUACAUAUACACACCAUGAAUAGGAAGCUGCAUCUGCUGGCUGCUGUGCCCCUGCUCAGCGUGCUGAUGGGCUACGUAGCUAGUUUGGAAGAGGACUGUCUGGACUUCCAGGGGAACUCGGUCGCGCACGGUCUACUCUACGUACCUGGGCCGGGUGUGUGCAGUCUUUGUGUGUGCUACCACUCGGAGCCGCUGUGGUGCAAAGCAAUCUACUGUGAUCCACCUUAUUUCUGUAAAAAAUUUCGCGUAGGCGAGCGAUGCUGUGAAUUUGAAUGCCUAGAUCCGCCCGGAGAGGACGAAAUGUAUCAGGCUCGGCUCCGGAAGCGUGCAGAGAUACUGGCCGGAAACGGAGCAGCACCCCAGCUGCCUCAGUUGUGGCUGACCGGCGAGGGUCUUGUCCGGAUUCCGGUGAGCCGAACCUCCGCCGGCAUGCUGCUCCUGGUGGCGUUAGCUAACAGCGUUACGCAAAGGCUGCUGCUGCUCCCAUCAUAGCUUUACUGAAAGUACUUUGCCCUCGGUUCGGCUUCAUAACGAAUUUUGUUACGAAUUAGAGCAGCCGCCGGCGCCAGGGCCGGCGAAUAGGCUAGCAGCAUAGGGGGUCGCUUGUGACGCAGAGUGACGACGUUAUAGAAUAUUCAAUGAGCGAACGGUAAAGAAAUGGUUCCGGGGAUGCCCCGAAGCCGGACCCGAAGCGGCUCGGUCGGAGCGGCUCAACGAACGCGUGUAACAAUUUUUCAAAUGCUCCCGGAACCAGAGGACCGAGUAAAGCUCUUUUCUCUCUGAUCAGGAAAUAGAAUUGUGACCGAGGAGCACAUUAGGCGAGGGGAGAGUAUUGUUGUAGAAAUACCGUAAAGUUAAUCGUGGAUCAGUUUUGGGUUGUUUUCCUCUUCUUAGAAGCCAACGCUACGACUGACCAUGGCGGAAACAAUGCAAAUUUCUUGAUCAACCUUUUUCCGUUCAUUAGACUCUACUAACACGCUCAAAAUGGAGAAAAUAAAAGUUUUGCCACGGGCACGGUAGAAAAGACAAAAAAAUUAAUGGAUAGCAAUCUGGAACGGGAGUAAAACUCCUCGUUCUUCGUAGACUUAUUGCCUAGUUAGAACUUACAAUGACGGCACUACUAGGGCCGCUGGGACGAUUCAAUUUGCAUAAACAUGGGAAGAUGGAAUGAAUUAUCCCAUUCUAAGCGGUUCCAUCACGAUUUGUUUGCCAAUUCGUACUUCGACCAGCCAUUUCAAACUAAGCUUUAUUCCCUACCAAAAUCAAGACAUAAAAUCUUUAAACUUCAAUCGUGCUAAAGUCGUUUCUAGCCGCUAACUUGCCGACUUGAAUCGGUAUCGGAGAGAUUCGGAAACAGCUUCGCAACGCGAUGGAGGACUUUUCGAAGAACGGCUACACUGUGCGGUAAAACAUCCGCAGCCACAACUAACUGUAGAUAAUUGCAAAUCAGCAGACCGUAGAAUCUCUAAGGUUCGUCUUAGUGAUAGAAAAGAGGAAAGAAAAACACUAAUAAUUGUACAAUUUUAAACUGUUUACAAAACUAUUGAAAGACACCUAAACGUAACCAUAGCAAAGCUAAAACGCGAAUCGCUCGAACGCGGAUCGAUCGCGAUCGGAGCGGAUGCGGCAAGAAUUGUUUCCGAUAUCUUGCACUCGAACACACACACACACACAUCGUACACAACUAAUCAAUGCUUUAUUCUUUUUCUUAAUAAAAAAAAUUAAAAAACCUACAAAAAAACUAACGAUCUUUUCGAGCAAGCAAAGCUACAAUUUUACUUACACUGGUAACGAAGCGAAGAGAGAUGAUAAAUUCAAAACAAAGCCCUAUAAAACUUAGAAUAAUCUCCAUUGUCGACCGGUGCAAUUUGCUAGGGGAGCGAAGAAAUAAUAAAACUAAACGUGGAAAAUAUUUCCUGUUUUAAAUUAAACUGCUGCAGUAUUAUUAUGAUUCUUGGUGAAACACUUGGAUGA